GACAUAGGUGGCGAACGUUAUCCGGAAUUAUUGGGCGUAAAGGGCGCGUAGGCGGCCUGGCAAGUGGAAGGUGAAAUCCCUCGGCUUAACCGAGGAACUGCCCUCCAAACUGCUUGGCUUGAGUCCGGGAGAGGUGAGUGGAAUUCCCAGUGUAGCGGUGAAAUGCGUAGAUAUUGGGAGGAACACCAGUGGCGAAGGCGGCUCACUGGACCGGAACUGACGCUGAGGCGCGAAAGCGUGGGGAGCAAACAGG
rnacentral:rRNA from 1 species